rnacentral:rRNA from 1 species
ACGGAAGGCAGCAGUGGGGAAUAUUGGGCAAUGGGCGAAAGCCUGACCCAGCAACGCCGCGUGAAGGAAGAAGGUCUUCGGAUUGUAAACUUCUUUUAUCAGGGACGAAGAAAGUGACGGUACCUGAUGAAUAAGCCACGGCUAACUACGUGCCAGCAGCCGCGGUAAUACGUAGGUGGCGAGCGUUAUCCGGAUUUACUGGGUGUAAAGGGCGCGUAGGCGGGGAUGCAAGUCAGAUGUGAAAUCUAUGGGCUUAACCCAUAAACUGCAUUUGAAACUGUAUCUCUUGAGUGUCGGGGAGGUAGAUGGAAUUCCUAGUGUAGCGGUGAAAUGCGUAGAUAUUAGGAGGAACACCAGUGGCGAAGGCGACCUACUGGACGAUAACUGACGCUGAGGCGCGAAAGCGUGGGGAGCAAACAGGAUUAGAUACCCUGGUA